AAGAGAGCAAAGUUGAAAGACAGAGAAUGUUCGAGAACAGUGAGGAGCCGAGGGUUGCAAAGGAGGUUUGGAGCUGGCUUUGUUGAUCCAGUAAAGAAAAUUCUUUUUCAGUGUAGGGUUCUCUAUAUCUUGAAUGGCUUGGAGUGAUUUUGUUUCAAUGGUUUUUAUUAAAUGUUUUGAAUAAAUAUAUAUUUAUUUUGUUUAUAUACUCACAUGAUUAUGUAUAUUUUGUGAAGUUGUUUUAUUAAACCUCCAUGAAAUUCUUAUUAUGGUUUUUCCUAUUGGGACUUUCAGUCUCACCACCCUCCAGUUUCAAGUACUGAAGAUGAAUGGGGAUUGCUAGAUUCAAGCUUAGGCUAAAGAGUCGGUGUUACAGGAUUUUAUUUAUUUAUUUGGAGAUUUUUUUGUGUAUAUUUAAGGAAAUUGACUUUGUAUAAAAGAGGACAUUUUUUUUUUAAUCCUGGGUGUAUUUUAAUGUACCUGAUUUUGUAUAAAUUGAGGAUUUUAUUAGAAUUUUCAGGUCGUGACAACGACGCUUAAGGAACGGAAGCUGCGGUUUCAAGACCUUUGUCACAGGAAGGAAGUGGCGGAUGACGUUCCUCCAUAGGUUUGAAUGGGCACUUAUCCCGAAAAUAAGCUAACUCAGCAAAAUAAAAGUAGAAAUGAAGCAAUUCUGGGAUGAAUCAAAUAAGGGAGCCAAGUGGAAGCAAAAGGAAGCAAAAGGUGGAAUUCAACAUCUAUGAUCGAUCUCAGAUCAAAGUUCGAUCGAUCCAACAUGAUCGAUCUUAGCACUUCAAGAUGGAUCAGAGCCAUGAUGACAUUUUCAGAGAUCUCAAAAGUUCGAUCGAUCCAACAUCAUUCUUCGAUCGAUCAAACUACCUUGUCCUUAUCCAAAUGAUUGAUCUUAUCUAGUUGUACCACCCUACCAACCACUUUUGUCCUUCUCCCAAAAAUAUCUUCGAAAUAUCUCAGAUUUGUUUUUAUCCAAAAAGGCGCCGCCAUUGAGGAUCGAUCCAACUUCAGUUCGAUAGAUCUCAGCCUGUUCGAUCGAUCCAAGUCCAAGGUUCGAUCGAUCGAACUUCCUCCAGUGCGAAAAAGUUAAAUUUCCAGCUCAUUGAAAGCUGUCCUUAUCCAAUCAUUGGGGAAUAUUUUGUGCAUGACCUCAGCUCAUUUUGUGUGUCACUUGACCUACCUAUAUAUAGAAUAUGAUACACUUUUUGAGGGAGAUUGAUCUAUCAUAAUAGCGGCUAUUCUUAGGGAGGAAGAAAGGAGGAGAAGGCUAGAGACACAAGCUUGGGAGCUCUUCAUCAACCAAGGAGUAGAUUUCUUCCAUGGAGUUUGCCCUUGAGGGUUGGAGAAGCAUUACCAUAAGUGGCUAGACAUCCUCUUGGGGAUAGAGUUAGCCCCAAACAUGCUUUCUACAUCUUAAUUUUGUGUAUUAUUGAGGGAUUAAUGUUGUAAUACAUGU